GGGAGUGUAAGCGGAUCUGGUGACCGCCCUGGGCUUCAAACCCAGUGUGGCUCCUGAGCAAGGGGCCAGGUGGGUUCGAUUCCCAUCCACUCCCG
rnacentral:tRNA from 1 species